rnacentral:rRNA from 1 species
GCUGGCGGCGUGCCUAAUACAUGCAAGUCGAGCGGUUUUCACCUUCGGGUGGAGACAGCGGCGGACGGGUGAGUAACACGUAGGUAACCUGCCACUCAGACUGGGAUAACUACCGGAAACGGUAGCUAAGACCGGAUACGCUUAUAGGAGGGCAUCCUCGUAUAAGGAAAAGCGGAGCAAUCUGCUGCUGAAUGAUGGACCUGCGGCGCAUUAGCUAGUUGGUGGGGUAGCGGCUCACCAAGGCGACGAUGCGUAGCCGACCUGAGAGGGUGAACGGCCACACUGGGACUGAGACACGGCCCAGACUCCUACGGGAGGCAGCAGUAGGGAAUCUUCGGCAAUGGACGGAAGUCUGACCGAGCAACGCCGCGUGAGUGAAGAAGGUUUUCGGAUCGUAAAACUCUGUUGCCAGGGAAGAAAGGUUAAGAGAGUAACUGCUCUUGGCUUGACGGUACCUGAGAAGAAAGCCCCGGCUAAUUACGUGCCAGCAGCCGCGGUAAUACGUAGGGGGCAAGCGUUGUCCGGAAUUAUUGGGCGUAAAGCGCGCGCAGGCGGUGACUUAAGUCUGGUGUAUAACCCAAGGGCUCAACUCUUGGUGGCAUUGG